AGAAAAUUCUCUUCAAAACCUCUGAUUUCAUCACUGUGAUUCCAUUAUUCAUGCACGAGUGUUCCAUAUAAGUUGUAUAUAAACUACAAAUUAUGAAAUUUCAAAUUUUAUAUAGGGUAUCUCUUGUACUAGUUCAAGAUUUUCAAUUGCAAUAACAACUUUCAUGCACACAAACUUAGCUAAAAUCAAUUCCAAAUUUCAAAAAGUUUCAGAUAUUGCUUAA
rnacentral:misc_RNA from 1 species